UACGUAGGGUGCGAGCGUUUAAUCGGAAUUACUGGGCGUAAAGCGUGCGCAGGCGGUUUUGUAAGCCAGAUGUGAAAUCCCCGGGCUCAACCUGGGAAUGGCAUUUGGGACUGCAAGGCUUGAGUGCGGCAGAGGAGACUGGAAUUCCUGGUGUAGCAGUGAAAUGCGUAGAUAUCAAGUGGAACACCAGUGGCGAAGGCGAGUCCCUGGACAACUCCUGACACUGAGGCACGAAAGCUAGGGGAGCAAACGGG
rnacentral:rRNA from 1 species